rnacentral:rRNA from 1 species
UACGAAGGGGGCUAGCGUUGCUCGGAAUCACUGGGCGUAAAGCGCACGUAGGCGGAUUGUUAAGUCAGGGGUGAAAUCCUGGAGCUCAACUCCAGAACUGCCUUUGAUACUGGCGAUCUUGAGUCCGGGAGAGGUGAGUGGAACUGCGAGUGUAGAGGUGAAAUUCGUGAUAUUCGCAAGAACACCAGUGGCGAAGGCGGCUCACUGGCCCGGUACUGACGCUGAGGUGCGAAAGCGUGGGGAGCAAACAGG